GAAAACUUUUAUUAUUUGGAAGGAGAAAGAUAUGCUCUCCUUUGUGGCAACAGGACAGAUGCUGGUCAGUGUCCUGAAGGAUAUGUGUGUGUAAAAGCUGGCAUAAAUCCUGAUCAAGGCUUCACAAAUUUUGACAGUUUUGGCUGGGCCUUAUUUGCCCUAUUUCGGUUAAUGGCUCAGGAUUACCCUGAAGUACUUUAUCACCAGGUAAGAACAGAGAGAAAUUGUACUGUACUUAGGAAUGGCACCAUGCCCUUGCUUCUAAGAUAAUGGUCAAAUGUAAUAUAGUUUUUUAAAUUUUUAUGUGCAGAAGAAUUGGAAGACAAAAGAAAAGAGAACUAGAAUUACUGAAUGUCAAAUUAUAUGCUGGCCACAUUGCCAGGUGUAUUAUAUCUUAUUUAAUCUUUGAAACAAUUCUACAAGGUCAGAGAGAGAGAGAGAGAAGAGAGGAGAGAGAGAAGAGAGUGUGUGUAUUUGUAUGUGUGCUUUUUUUUUUUUUUUUUUUUUGAGACGGAGUCUCACUCUGUCACCCAGGCUGGAGUGCAGUGGCACAAUCUCAGCUCACUGCAAGCUCCGUCUCCCGGCUUCACACCAUUCGCCUGCCUCAGCCUCCCGAGUAGCUAGGACUACAGGCGCACGCCACCUCGCCCGGCUAAUUUUUUGUAUUUUCAGUAGAGGAGGGGUUUCACCGUAUUAGCCAGGAUGGUCUUGAUCUCCUGAUCUCAUGAUCCUCCCGCCUCAGCCUCCCAAAGAGCUGGGAUUACAGGUGUGAGCCACCUCGCCCAGCUGUGUGUGUGUGCUUUUUAUAUGAAGACACUAAGAUUUAGAGAGGUCGAGUACC
rnacentral:lncRNA from 10 species